rnacentral:rRNA from 1 species
GAUGAACGCUAGCGGGAGGCCUAACACAUGCAAGCUGAGCGGUAGAGUUCCUUCGGAGACUUGAGAGCGGCGUACGGGUGCGGGACACGUGUGCAGCCUGCCUUUAUCAGGGGGAUAGCCUUUCGAAAGGAAGAUUAAUACCCCAUAAUAUAUAGAGUGGCAUCACUUUAUAUUGAAAACUGAGGUGGAUAAAGAUGGGCACGCGCAAGAUUAGAUAGUUGGUGAGGUAACGGCUCACCAAGUCGAUGAUCUUUAGGGGGCCUGAGAGGGUGAUCCCCCACACUGGUACUGAGACACGGACCAGACUCCUACGGGAGGCAGCAGUGAGGAAUAUUGGCCAAUGGGUUAGCGCCUGAUCCAGCCAUCCCGCGUGAAGGACGACGGCCCUAUGGGUUGUAAACUUCUUUUGUACAGGGAUAAACCUAUUUACGUGUAAAUAGCUGAAGGUACUGUACGAAUAAGCACCGGCUAACUCCGUGCCAGCCGCCGCAGUAA